GACGAACGCUGGCGGCGUGCCUAAUACAUGCAAGUUGAGCGAUGAGGGUUGGUACUUGUACCAACUGGAUGAGCAGCGCACGGGUGAGUAACACGUGGGGACUCUGCCUCUUAGCGGGGGACAACAUUUGGAAACGAAUGCUAAUACCGCAUAAACGCUUUAAACACAAGAUUUAAGUUUGAAAGAUGCAAUUGCAUCACUCAAAGAUGACCCCGCGUUGUAUUAGCUAGUUGGUGAGGUAACGGCGCACCAAGGCGAUGAUCCAUAGCCGACCUGAGAGGGUGAUCGGCCACAUUGGGACUGAGACACGGCCCAGACUCCUACGGGAGGCAGCAGUAGGGAAUCUUCCGCAAUGGACGAAAGUCUGACCGAGCAACGCCGCGUGAGUGAUGACGGUUUUCGGGUCGUAAAACUCUGUUAGUAGAGAAGAACGGUGGUGGGAGUGGAAGUCUCAGCAAGUGACGGUACCGAACCAGAAAGGGACGGCUAACUACGUG
rnacentral:rRNA from 1 species